rnacentral:tRNA from 1 species
AAAGUACGUAAUAUAAAAAAUUAUUUUUUAUAUGAAAUUUUAUAUUAUUUUAAUCAAUUUAAAGCU